UUUCCGUAGGUGAACCUGCGGAAGGAUCAUUAUUGAAUAAACCUGCUGUGGUUGUAGCUGGCACUUUCGGGAGCCUGUGCACACCCGUCGUCUUUAUCUUUCCACCUGUGCACCUUUUGUAGACCUGGAUGUAACACUUUCCGAGGCAACUCGGUCGGGAGGAAUGCUGUCAGCUUUCCUUGACUGUCCAGGCCUAUGUUUUCAUAUACCCCAAAGAAUGUAACAGAAUGUAUUAUUGGGCCUUGUGCCUAUAAACUAUAUACAACUUUCAGCAACGGAUCUCUUGGCUCUC
rnacentral:misc_RNA from 1 species